GACGAACGCUGGCGGCGCGCUUAAUACAUGCAAGUCGAACGGAAAGGCCUGCUUUCCCUUGUGGAUUGCGGGUACUCGAGUGGCGAACGGGUGAGUAACACGUGAGUGAUCUGCCCCCAACUUGGGUAUAAGCCUGGGAAACUGGGUCUAAUUCCCGAUAGGACUGCAGGGUGGUGCCUGUGGUGGAAAACGAUUUUCUAGUGGUUGGGGAUGAGCUCGCGGCCUAUCAGCUUGUUGGAGGGGUAAUGGCCUACCAAGGCGGCGACGGGUAGCCGGCCUGAGAGGGUGGACGGCCACAUUGGGACUGAGAUACGGCCCAGACUCCUACGGGAGGCAGCAGUGGGGAAUAUUGCACAAUGGGCGGAAGCCUGAUGCAGCGACGCCGCGUGGGGGAUGACGGCCUUCGGGUUGUAAACUCCUUUCGACCGCGAGGAAGCCACCUGGUUGGAAGGGUGGUGACGGUAGUGGUAGAAGAAGCACCGGCUAACUACGUG
rnacentral:rRNA from 1 species